UUAUUAACCAACUAAGUACAUUAUUGCCAAAAAUGACUGGUUAUUAAAAAUAACACAUUUUCUGUAAUGGCCCUGUUUUUUCUGUAAUGGCCCUGUUUUUUCUGUAAUGGCCCUGUUUUUCUGUAAUGGCCCUGUUUUUUUCUGUAAUGGCCCUGUUUUUUUUUGUAAUGGCCCUGUAUUGAUGCCCAGUUUGUCUGUAUAAAGCACAGUUAGGGUUUUUAAUAAAGUUAAUAAAAUUAAGUUGUACUGAAAGAGUAUAAUACUUUUUUGUAUUUUAUUUAAUUUAGUAACCAGCAACCAACAUUAAAGAACCAUAUAUAGGGAUCACUGUUCCUCCUGUUUUUCAACACAUAACUUCUGUCA
rnacentral:lncRNA from 1 species